GCUAUUUCCGACUGGUAAAUGCAACUGAUAAUGAGAUUUAAAUGAUCAGAAUGUUUAAAUCCACUGGUAAUGUAUUGUUAUAAACUGCCAUUAAUAAUACCUUUUUUCAUAGUCUCCAUGUCUGAUUUUUGUCUUGAUGACGCUAAAGUUCUCUAAGAAACAAUGGGUAAAACAUAAGGUACUAUAGGUUCCCGCCGGAGGUCAAUUAUAUGGGAGACUGAACAUAUUCUAUUGCAAUAAGCAUGAAAUUGAUAUUUCCAGAAUGUGGAAAAGAGCAGUGUGGCUGGAGGGCAGAAAAGAAGAGGAGUGUGUGGUACCAUCUACCUGGAUAGUUGAAGGCAGACAGAUUUUAUAUUGGCCAUCAAAAGUUGAUGCUCACAAUGCCUUAACUAGUCGAGAAGACCCAGACCCCAAAUCAUGGAGAAAAUUUCCAUUGAUAAAAGUAAAAAUAGCUUCUGACAGUUACGAGGAAUGUGAGCAGUACCAGCUGACAUCAGCAGUAGACGGUGACAGAAGCAGCAGUGACCUGGAUGGGGAAGACGGUUUGACCUUGCGUGGCAGGAAGAAACGUAUGAAGAAAGCUCUGCCAAAGGACUUUGUUAGUAGUCAGGAUUUGGAUUGUCCACACUUUGCCUCAGGGCCAUCUUUACAAGUAACAGUUGCUCCCCCCCCACCACAAAAGGUUGUCCCAUACAACCAUCAACACAAAGGCUUGCCAAGUGCAGCAAGAAAAAAAUCUGAAAAGACAUAAUUCUGACAGAUGUGAAAGUAACCGGCAAAAGAAGAGUAGUUACCAACAGCAAGAUGAAGGCAGUCAGCCUGAUACCCUACAUAUAGCUAGCAGCAGUGGCAGUCAACACGGCAGAUUGGACCUGCACGACAACCACAGCCUGAGGAACAGAUCUGACCGACAGACGAGACAUGACAGCAGUGACCAACAAAGCAGACAUGACAGCAGCGAUUGACACAGCAGACAUGACAGCAGCGAUUACACAGCAGACAUGACAGCAGCGAUUACACAGCAGACAUGACAGCAGUGACCGACACAGCAGACAUGACAGCAGUGACCAACACAAAAGACAUGACAGUCGUGGCCGACGCAGCAGACAUGACAGCAGUGACCGACACAACAGACAUGACAGUCAUGACCGACACAACAGACAUGACAGCAGUGACCGACAAGGGAGCGAUUGGAUUCAGAAUCUGUCUAGUGAAGACCUUGAUGAUGUUCAACCCUUGAACCAAGGAGAAAACCGUCAGAGUGGAUUUCCUAUGGAUU